rnacentral:rRNA from 1 species
AUUGAACGCUGGCGGCAUGCUUUACACAUGCAAGUCGAACGGUAACAGGCCGCAAGGUGCUGACGAGUGGCGAACGGGUGAGUAAUGCAUCGGAACGUGCCCAGUCGUGGGGGAUAACUACUCGAAAGGGUAGCUAAUACCGCAUACGAUCUAUGGAUGAAAGCGGGGGACCGUAAGGCCUCGCGCGAUUGGAGCGGCCGAUGUCAGAUUAGGUAGUUGGUGGGGUAAAGGCUCACCAAGCCAACGAUCUGUAGCUGGUCUGAGAGGACAACCAGCCACACUGGGACUGAGACACGGCCCAGACUCCUACGGGAGGCAGCAGUGGGGAAUUUUGGACAAUGGGCGCAAGCCUGAUCCAGCAAUGCCGCGUGCAGGAAGAAGGCCUUCGGGUUGUAAACUGCUUUUGUACGGAACGAAACGGCUCUGGUUAAUACCCGGGGCUAAUGACGGUACCGUAAGAAUAAGCACCGGCUAACUACGUG